rnacentral:rRNA from 1 species
GAUGAACGCUAGCGGCAGGCCUAAUACAUGCAAGUCGAACGGGAAUGAGAAGCUUGCUUUUCAUGAGAGUGGCGCACGGGUGCGUAACACGUAUGCAACCUACCUUUCACAGGGGGAUAGCCUUUCGAAAGAGAGAUUAACACCGCAUAACAUAAUGAACUGGCAUCAGUCUAUUAUCAAACGAUAGGGUGAAAGAUGGGCAUGCGUCCGAUUAGCUAGUUGGUACGGUAACGGCGUACCAAGGCGACGAUCGGUAGGGGAUAUGAGAGGAUGACCCCCCACACUGGUACGGAGACACGGACCAGACUCCUACGGGAGGCAGCAGUAAGGAAUAUUGGUCAAUGGACGCAAGUCUGAACCAGCCAUGCCGCGUGCAGGAAGACGGUCCUCUGGAUUGUAAACUGCUUUUGUCAGGGAAGAAACCUUCGGAUGCGUUCGAAGCUGACGGUACCUGAAGAAUAAGGAUCGGCUAACUUCGUGCCAGCAGCCGCCGUAAGAC